CCUACGGGUGGCUGCAGUGGGGAAUAUUGGACAAUGGGCUAAAGCCUGAUCCAGCCAUGCCGCGUGUGUGAAGAAGGCCUUCGGGUUGUAAAGCACUUUCAGUGGGGAAGAAAGCCUUGGGGCUAAUACCCUCGAGGAAGGACAUCACCCACAGAAGAAGCACCGGCUAACUCCGUGCCAGCAGCCGCGGUAAUACGGAGGGUGCGAGCGUUAAUCGGAAUUACUGGGCGUAAAGCGCGCGUAGGCGGUCUGAUAAGCCGGUUGUGAAAGCCCCGGGCUCAACCUGGGAACGGCAUCCGGAACUGGCAGGCUAGAGUGCAGGAGAGGAAGGUAGAAUUCCCGGUGUAGCGGUGAAAUGCGUAGAGAUCGGGAGGAAUACCAGUGGCGAAGGCGGCCUUCUGGACUGACACUGACGCUGAGGUGCGAAAGCGUGGGUAGCAAACAGGAUUAGAUACCCUAAGUAGUC
rnacentral:rRNA from 1 species